rnacentral:lncRNA from 1 species
UGCCCCAACAUACUAGAUUUGCUCAUGUAACUUCAAACCUAGGGAUGGAAAGACCCACAAAUAAAGAUGAGAAGGGACAAACAGGAGAAACUGCUAGGGGAAGCGGGUGACUCCCGGGCGCCAUCCAAUGGGACCAGUUCCAUCUGGGCAGGCCAUCCAGAAGCUGUCAUCUCUCAGGGAUAAUGAAGGCCAGCCGCAGCACCUUACAAGGCCAUCCAGGCAGCCAGCCGCUGGAAUCCCAGGGAUUACACAGCCUCUGGAGGGCUUGGAACAGGCUCGGGUCACCUGCUGCAGACACAAGUGUGUGCCUGGGCUGCUUCUGUCUUGUGACUGAGGAAUUUUGAAAUGGCAGUGCUGAGCUCACAAAGAAGAAAAUGUCUCCUUGAUGUCACACAGUUCGCUGCCAAACCAUCCAAGGAGCUGGGAGUGCGGACAUACAUGUCAACUACCUGGAAAUUAUCAAUGACUGCACGUGCCCAGCUCUUCUGGACCCUCUGAUGUUCUGUCACAUGGGAGCAAAUGGAGAGCUGGGACAUCCUUUGACCUCAGCCCUCAAAGGAUAAUUAACUUCUUGCUCAAUCCCUCAGCAUUUGACCAAAAUACCAAGAUAAAAAUGUAGGCCCGUGUUAGUACAAAAGGUCCUGCAUUCAACUGUCCUCCUUAUAUUGCCCAAGAAGUCUUGUGGAAUUCCAAGAAGAAUUCAAGGGGCCAGACCUGGAAUAUGCAUCAAUGAGAAUAAGACACUGACGAAGCUAACGACACUAACGGGGAAUGAGGAUAAUCGACUCCUGUCCUUUGUUUUACUCUUUAACCUAGUAAUAAAUCCCUUUAAAGGCCCGUGGUAUUCGGAGCAUCCCGUGUGUGAAGUGCUCUCGCAGUUGUGGCCGGAAUGUGAGACCUAUAGGCUAAAGA